GAUGAACGCUGGCGGCGUGCUUAACACAUGCAAGUCGAACGAAGCAUUUACGACAGAUUUCUUCGGAUUGAAGUUGUUUAUGACUGAGUGGCGGACGGGUGAGUAACGCGUGGGUAACCUGCCUUGUACUGGGGGAUAGCAGCUGGAAACGGCUGGUAAUACCGCAUAAGCGCACGGUGCUGCAUGGCACAGUGUGAAAAACUCCGAUGGUAUAAGAUGGACCCGCGUCUGAUUAGCUAGUUGGUGAGAUAACAGCCCACCAAGGCGACGAUCAGUAGCCGACCUGAGAGGGUGAACGGCCACAUUGGGACUGAGACACGGCCCAGACUCCUACGGGAGGCAGCAGUGGGGAAUAUUGCACAAUGGAGGAAACUCUGAUGCAGCGACGCCGCGUGAGUGAAGAAGUAAUUCGUUAUGUAAAGCUCUAUCAGCAGGGAAGAUAGUGACGGUACCUGACUAAGAAGCUCCGGCUAAAUACGUGCCAGCCGCCGCUGUAAAAC
rnacentral:rRNA from 1 species